rnacentral:rRNA from 1 species
UACGAAGGGGGCUAGCGUUGUUCGGAAUUACUGGGCGUAAAGGGCGCGUAGGCUGUGCUGUAAGUCAGGCGUGAAAGCCCCGGGCUCAACCUGGGAAUUGCGCUUGAUACUGCGGCGCUGGAAGGUGGGAGAGGAUGGCGGAAUUCCCAGUGUAGAGGUGAAAUUCGUAGAUAUUGGGAAGAACACCGGUGGCGAAGGCGGCCAUCUGGCCCAUUUUUUGGACGCUGAGGCGCGAAAGCGUGGGGAGCAAACAGG